ACUCCUACGGGAGGCAGCAGAUGCAUGUCGAGCGGAUGAGAGGAGCAUGCUCCUAGAUUUAGCGGCCGGACGCGUGAGUAAUGCCUAGGAAUCUGCCUGGUAGUGGGGGAUAACGUUCCGAUAGGAACGCUAAUACCGCAUACGUCCUACCGGAGAUAGCAGGGGACCUUCGCGCCUUGCGGCCAGCAGCCGCGGUA
rnacentral:rRNA from 1 species